rnacentral:rRNA from 1 species
UACGUAGGGUGCAAGCGUUACUCGGAAUUACUGGGCGUAAAGCGUGCGUAGGUGGUUGUUUACGUCUGUUGUGAAAGCCCUGGGCUCAACCUGGGAAUUGCAGUGGAUACUGGGCGACUAGAGUGUGGUAGAGGGUAGUGGAAUUCCCGGUGUAGCAGUGAAAUGCGUAGAGAUCGGGAGGAACAUCCAUGGCGAAGGCAGCUACCUGGACCAACACUGACACUGAGGAACGAAAGCGUGGGGAGCAAACAGG